rnacentral:rRNA from 1 species
UGGGGAAUAUUGGACAAUGGGGGAAACCCUGAUCCAGCAAUGCCGCGUGAGUGAUGAAGGCCUUAGGGUUGUAAAGCUCUUUCGACGGGGACGAUGAUGACGGUACCCGUAGAAGAAGCCCCGGCUAACUUCGUGCCAGCAGCCGCGGUAAGACGAAGGGGGCUAGCGUUGUUCGGAAUUACUGGGCGUAAAGCGCGCGUAGGCGGUUUUCCAAGUCAGGCGUGAAAGCCCCGGGCUCAACCCGGGAACUGCGCUUGAUACUGUGAGACUUGAGACCGGGAGAGGAUAGUGGAAUUCCCAGUGUAGAGGUGAAAUUCGUAGAUAUUGGGAAGAACACCAGUGGCGAAGGCGGCUAUCUGGACCGGUACUGACGCUGAGGCGCGAAAGCGUGGGGAGCAAACAG